UCCACAGCCAUGGUGUAUAAAAAGCUGCAGGUCUCUCAGCCCUGAUGCAAAUAUCGGAGGAGUGAAGUUAUUUCUAUAAAUGCAGCACAUUUGAUCCUUAGGCUUAUGACUGUUUGAUGCGGUAUUACCAUUUCCGAACCACUGGUAGAACAAAGAUUACCACUGAAACGGUUGGCCAUUUGUACUGACUAGAAUAGGAGUACGAUAACGUUAAUGUAAAGUGUAUAGAGCAAGGUUUACUCCGACCUGCUCUGGCAGCGUAUGCUGCUGAGCUGGCUGUAGAGAGCCGGGGGCCUGGCCUGUCCCAGCGGCUGCAGGGUAAACAUGAUUAUCAGGUUGGACCGCACAGGAGACGACACGUCCUCAAUGGGGUUCAACACAGAGGAACGAAUCAAUUAAAAAAGACCACAAGACAGCCGUCAACAAUCACUUGUCAUUUUGUAUUUUUUUUUUUUUUGUAUUUUACAAUUAAAAACUUCAAAGAUUUAACAUGCAUAAUUUUUUUUUUAAACACUCAAACCAAACUACCAAAAGAAUCCGUUAUCUAAAUCAAAACUAAAUAAAUGAAUAGUAUUUUUUUUUUUAUAGUAUGUACAUUUUUUCUUCACUAAAAUCUCUGAAAAUCAGUUUGAGGCCAGUUAAUUAUUAAAGCAAAAAGCAUCAAUCAUUGUUUAAGAAACUAUAUACUCAAAUAUACUCAAGCACAUACCCCAGAUUGCAGCUAAAACAUUUAGACUUCUUAAGUAAAUUCAUAAAAUG